rnacentral:rRNA from 1 species
AUUGAACGCUGGCGGCAUGCCUUACACAUGCAAGUCGAACGGCAGCGGACCUUCGGGUGCCGGCGAGUGGCGAACGGGUGAGUAAUAUAUCGGAACGUACCUUUCAGUGGGGGAUAACGUAGCGAAAGUUACGCUAAUACCGCAUAUUCUGUGAGCAGGAAAGCAGGGGAUCGCAAGACCUUGCGCUGAUUGAGCGGCCGAUAUCAGAUUAGCUAGUUGGUGAGGUAAAGGCUCACCAAGGCGACGAUCUGUAGCGGGUCUGAGAGGAUGAUCCGCCACACUGGAACUGGGACACGGUCCAGACUCCUACGGGAGGCAGCAGUGGGGAAUUUUGGACAAUGGGCGCAAGCCUGAUCCAGCCAUGCCGCGUGAGUGAAGAAGGCCUCGGUUGUUAAAGGACGUACUUUCGGUCCGGGAACGGAAAGUACG